GUCGGGAUCGCAUAGCUCGGUAGUGCGCUGGUCUUGAAAACCAGUGGGUCCGCCCACGGGGGUUCGAAUCCCUCUCCCGACG
rnacentral:tRNA from 1 species